GGUUUAUAGUUAAGGCCAUCAGCAUGUCCUCCCAUUAGAUCGACGUUACGUUCCUCAAUGUGUCUAGAACCAAUAUCAUACAUGGAACUUGCAUUGUUUGACCAUCCAGUAGUCCCAAUUGAAUAAGCCUCCUCAGCAUUGAUGUUGUACUUUCUGGCAAUGUCAUCGGUUAAGCUAGCUCGUGCUGCAUCGUAAGGAGCUCCAAAGUUGGAAUUCGGGUCAGGCAUAGUCAACCCCGGCUCCU
rnacentral:misc_RNA from 1 species